UACGUAGGUGGCAAGCGUUGUCCGGAAUUAUUGGGCGUAAAGCGCGCGCAGGCGGUCCUUUAAGUCUGAUGUGAAAGCCCUCGGCUCAACCGAGGAGGGUCAUUGGAAACUGGAGGACUUGAGUGCAGAAGAGGAAAGUGGAAUUCCAAGUGUAGCGGUGAAAUGCGUAGAGAUUUGGAGGAACACCAGUGGCGAAGGCGACUUUCUGGUCUGUAACUGACGCUGAGGCGCGAAAGCGUGGGGAGCAAACAGGAUUAGAUACCCUUGUAGUCC
rnacentral:rRNA from 1 species